rnacentral:rRNA from 1 species
UACAGAGGUCCCAAGCGUUGUUCGGAUUCACUGGGCGUAAAGGGUGCGUAGGUGGUGGGGUAAGUCGGAUGUGAAAUCUCCGAGCUCAACUCGGAAACUGCAUUGGAAACUACCCUGCUAGAGGGUCGGAGGGGGGACUGGAAUACUUGGUGUAGCAGUGAAAUGCGUAGAUAUCAAGUGGAACACCAGUGGCGAAGGCGAGUCCCUGGACGACUCCUGACACUGAGGCACGAAAGCUAGGGGGGCAAACAGG